GGCGCGGGUCCACUGCACCAUCUCCUUGCAGAGAGUGAUCUGGAGAUCAGUCGUUCCGGGUAUCUUGGCCACGGCGUCGAUGAUUCCUCUGACGAUUUUGGCCGUCUUGGCCUUGGGGAUUAGGGAAAAGAAAGGUCUCAGCUUGGUCAAGAGCGUGCGGAGAUCCUCGCCUCGCUUCUCUUCGGUGAGACGGUCGCAGAGGUUAGUAAUGGCUUGCUCCUUGACACGGAGAGCCUCUGGAGAUGAAGAAGGGUCUUCCAAGACCUGGUAGAGUAUCUGGAUAGCCUCUGAGCUGUUGGCUUCUAGAGCUAGAGAGAUAGUCUCGGUGGUAGCGGGAUACGAAACCAUUGUGUUUGUUUAUGCAAAGAACUCAAAACCCCCUGCAACAUAUAAAAAAACCAUAGAUUUGUCCUCAUGUCGACAACACUAAAUAAACCUAACAAGUUAACGAUACAAUAACAAGAUUGUCUGAUAAAAUCAACGAGAAAAGUAGAAAGAGAUACAUCAAAAGACGAGCUUAGUGAGCAGCAGGGAGAGGAGAACACGAAGGAUACCCUAACUUUACGUAAUCACUGAGGACAUAUACUAUUCAGAUCAAUGUCGUGGCGUUAUCUACUUCCUACAAAGAUCUAUUUUUUCAUUCUCCUCGGUAAUCAGAUAUAAACCCUAGAAUCUACCGAACCAGAUUUGAUUUCAAAGGAGAACGAUCGAAUGCUAAAACCCACAAGUAAACUAGAUCUGAUAAUCGGGCAAGAAACUCACUUUUGUGAAUCGUCGUCUAUGGAAUUCAAUUCGACGAUUGGUGGAGUAAGACAAGUGUCCAAGAUUAUUCUGUCUUGGUUGGGAAGACAAAGGUAUUGGUUUAGGGUACAAUUGUCAUUUUAUUUAAACCUGGGGAUUGAGCGUUUUAAAAGUAUUUAGCGUUUAAAGAGAGGAAACGCAUGUUGUGUAAACUCCCGACGUCGAAACGAAGGUAAUGAGAUUCAAGCCCACUAGCCAAGACUGAAGGCCCAAUAUAAAAACUUUUAUAUUUGAUAUUGCCUGCUUUAGGCUUUGUCUUUGUGCAUGGCUCUAUAGACAAUCUGCUAUGAUUUUGGGUCGAACUAGUUUCAUUUUGCCAUGUAUCUUUUUUUUUUCUUAUUAACCUCGGAUAUCCCGGAUUUUUUGAAGGGUCCAGACUAAUCUCUAAAUGGAAGUGCAGUCCACAAAUGAACCAUUUCUUCGGAUAUUCAAAUGGGCCGUAACCAAUUGAUUCAUAUCGGCCAUUUAUCUUUCUGUUAAAAAUAUAUAAAUCCGUUCAUCGGGGAAGUUUUCAUGAUCCUUCUUUUCUGAGAAGAUAUCACCACCAGCUUCUUUCUAUAAAAAGAUGUUUCUCGGAUUGAUUGUUUAAACUUGCUGAAAGUUUUGUCGUCAUGAACGGUCUACGGGAUAAAAUAUGCACUCGAGAAAGGGUUUCUUAUAGGUGAGGGUUGACUAGUUUCUACAUAGCACUCUUGUUGUGACUAAAUUUCAGAUGUCCAAUUUUGUCGCGAAAGCUCCAUCUAUUGGCACAUUCAAAUUUUGUUUCAAAUUUGCUGCUAUUUCUUAUGAAGACUUUAUUGUUCUUAAUUUUGUCUACUAUUGCAGUUCAUAUUUCGUAUCGAAAAAGAUAGAUGAUUUUUUCUUGCGUUUGUAUUCGAAAAGUUUAAUUUUUUAAUGAAAGUAAGUUGUGUUUAAAAAAAAAAGUGCGCAAUGCUUUACUUUUGUGCCUUUAGCUUUUAUUCCGUAUGAUUCGAUUCUUUCACGUUAAGCGACAUGAAAAUGAAGUUUUGUUUUUUUUUUUCUCAAAAUCAUGCUUGUGUUCAAGUCAUUCUAAAAUAAGAACUCCCGAAAACUAAAAAUUUAAAAGGUAAUCAAAUCAUUUUUGAAAAGGUUGUUGGAACACAAACACAAGAUAUGAAAAGAAGAAAACAGCGUUAGUUAAGUAUCUUUUACCGACAACAAGUGAAAUCAAAUAUAAAUGUUGUUAUAUACGAAAUGUAAAGAGUUACAACAAAAAUUAAAAUUGUUCAGAGAUCGAUGUAUAUCGGUAUUAAGCUUAGAAGAUGACGUCAGGGACGAUUCCAAGCUCCUUGAAAACUUGAGGACAAUCGGCGAGAGGAGUCUUCCUCAUGAACCCAAGUGGGUUAAUGGUUCGAAUCUCAUUAGAGACAAUGCCAUCGUUAGCCGUGAGACUGAUCCUUGCUGCGUUUCUUAGGAACUCUUCGUUGUUCACUUCGCCACACUCUGCGUCCGGUGAUUGGACGAGGAUGAUCUCGCACAGUUCCUCUUCGUGGUCUCCCAUAACUUCCAUCUGGUAUUUUCCGUCUUUGUCAGUCACAGCUUCUUUGGUCAGUGUCACUGUCUGGUUCACACGACUCUUGCACUCAAGCUUUACCUUUGCCCCUGUGAAUACACAACGAAUAAUCUUAUCGAACUAAAAUAAGACAUGUGAAUAGCCAGCAUGUCAUGUCUAGAUGUUUGAGAACGCUUAUUUAAAACACUAUGUUGGUAUUUUCUUGCAACGAUUAAAGAAUACUAAAUGAUUUUUUUAUAAGUAAUCUGUAAACCUAAAGGAAUUAAAUGGAAAAUAAAAAUAAAUGUAGAAUGAUUUAAGAGAUGAAAAAUACAGACACAAAAUUUAAAAUUGCAAACCCUUGACUAAACAGUGAGUAGAUGCAUAUCAUAGUUGCUGGAUGGAAGUUUGAGUCGCUGUCUGCGCCUCCAUGAAUAGUGUACGUAACUCAGUAAGUUCUGAUGUGGAUCCCUCCGGGAGCUGUUCCCGAUUGUCCCCACCUGCGCCUCUUAUUUUCUUUGUCAUCGAAAACCUGAAGUUCUUCCCGGAACAUUCUGAUUCUAAUACCAACUGAUAGAGAGCGUAAGCUGUGAAGUUCAAAGAUCAAAGGUUUGAUCUCGAAAUUGGUUUCUUGUAGUCGAAGGUAAUUCGAAAACAAGAUGGAUAGGGCGCGAAUACUCUUCGCAGUGCCUUUUGCAAAGCUCUUUUAAAAUCUAAAAAUUAUAACUUCUUAUUAAUCAAUCGUGUCUUACAAAGUUUGAUCACGAUCUCUAUUUAUAAUAACUAUAAAAGCUAAAACCUAAAGGAAUCGGGAAACCCGUAAUUAUUAGGAAAACAUACUAAAAGGAAAUAAAACCGUCAAUAGAUAAUAAGGAAAGAAUCCUAAUUAGUUGUGGAGGUGGAAUCGUCGAGAAUCCUAGGUGUUGUUGCAUCAUUCCCUAAAACCAUAACGGUGUUAUUUAAACGUUAACUUGGUUUAUGAUAGGUGGAGAGACGGUUUAAAGAAAGAAGAGCAGCAAAUACUAACUUACCAAUCUCCAUGUAUUGCCACAGGGAACUAUAAAAUUGGCGUAGUCUAGGACGCUUGAUUGGUUCCGUAAGUGGAUGUUACUCUCAGGUUCCGGUCCUGCAGGGAUUUAUAUAUUCUCCUCAAUCCGAAAAUUAAUGUCAUAUGAUCUCUUUAUAUGCUUUAUGUAAUAUAACUCGAAAAUAUCUACCCAACCAGUUACUAUGUCAUAUAACUCGAAAAUGCUGAAUAUAAUUUUUUAUCCUUAAUUGAUGAUGAAGAGUAAAACGAUUUCUGAAGAAUAAGAGCAGUUGACAAAAAGAAGAAGAACAAAACGACAUAGUAUUUUAUUUUUAUCAACCUAAAUGAAACCGACUAUCUACCUGUCAUAAACCAAGUUAACGUUUAAACAACACCAUUUACGGUUUUAGGAGAAUUAGUUUAAAAUCGAUAGUUUGUGUAUGUAAUUCAAAAAAUAGAAUUGUUCAUGUGGUUUUUGGCAUGACUUAAAAGUUGUGUGUGAAAUAGCCGGAAACAACUAGUUCGUAGGGGAAUAAAUUAUUUUUCCGUUGUUCAUGUAGGUUUUGGCAUGACUUAAAAGUUCGUGUAUGAAAAAAGCGGGAACAACUAGUUCACAGGGGAAUUGAACCAUUUUCUCAAAGUUAAACAGCAUUAUUCCAGAAACCUUUUUGAUAAAAUAUACGGAGACUGUACUGAAUAGUGUAUACACAUUUUUGAAGAAAAAAGGAAAAAGAAUACGCACAAUUUGUAAGCUGAUAUGGAUCGAUGUAUGACAUAUCUUUGAAUGCAGUAAGCAAUAAAUGUGCCUAACAUAUUCUUUCAUAUAUGUAUUCUCCCUACUAACAAGACUAUUGCUUUUCUCUUCUUUCCCACGAAAACGAUAUAAUAAUAACGUUUUCAUAAAUCUUUUUAGAAAGUGAAAGAAAAAAAAUCUUCUUCCUAUAAGCGUCUCUUCUCUCUUUCAUUACUGCAAGAAACUUAUUCACAACUCUCCUUCUCUAUCUCUCUUCUCGUUUUAAUGGCCUCCCAAAAUUCCCAAGGGAUUAAACUCUUCGGCAAAACCAUAACAUUCAACGCUAAUAAUCUCACAAAUACGAUUAAAAAAGAAGAGCAGCAACAACAGCCAGAGAUACAAACAAAAUCAGCCGUUGGAUCACCAUCAUCAGAUCUAACGGCCGAGAAGCGUCCAGACAAGAUCAUAGCAUGUCCGAGAUGCAAGAGCAUGGAGACAAAGUUCUGUUACUUCAAUAACUACAACGUUAAUCAACCAAGACACUUCUGCAAAGGUUGUCAGCGUUACUGGACCGCCGGUGGAGCUCUCAGGAAUGUUCCCGUCGGCGCCGGUCGUCGGAAAGCCAAGCCUCCGGGUCGUGUCGGUGGGUUCGAAGAGUUGCUUGGUGCUGCGACUGCAACCGUUGAUCAGGUCGAGCUUGACGCUUUGCUAGUGGAAGAGUGGCGAGCAGCGGCUUCUCACGGUGGUUUCCGGCAUGAUUUUCCGGCGAAGAGACUACGUUGCUAUACCGAUGGUCAAUCUUGUUAAUUUUCUUUUCGUAUCAUUGGUUCUUGUUUCAGGUUUGGGUUUGGGUUUGGGUUUGGGUUUUGGAUAUAACCCGGUAGAAAGAACGUGGUUAUGUUUGCUUUUGAUUUGCUUACUGGAUACGUACAGGCUAGCAACAAAAAUUAACUAGUUAAUUAAUUAAUUAGGAUGUUUAAGUACUUGCUUCUCUACUUAACAGCUGUCGCUUUUCUUUUUUAAUUUUUCUUGUUGAAAACUUUAGUUGUAAAUUCAAGCUCGUGGGAUUUUUCUGCUAUAAAAGAAAGACGGUGUUGUUGACCAUUAAUUAACCCUUUAAACUGCUUAUUUCAAGAUCUGAAUAGUAUAAUUAAUUAACGUCGAUCAGAUUUGCUUUAAGGAUAGUAUUAUUGCUCAUCAAUCUCUUUUUGUCAACUUUUACUCAUCUCAUUAACCAAUAAAAAGUAUAGUUUUCUGAUCUAUGUACAUUUCAGUUAGUUUAAGUGUACAUAAAGUUAAUCGAAGAUUUUGGACAUUAGUCUAGUAGUAUAAUUUUAAACCAAGAAACCUCAUUCAAUUGGGCAUUUAACUUUUCACUUAUUCAACAACAAACAAACAAUCACUGACCUACAAAAAUAGCAGUAUAUAGUUUGUUUUUUUAACUGUGAAUGAAGAUAUAAUGAACUAAAGUGGGACAUUCUAAAUGUUGUAUUUCCAUCAAGACCACUGAUGACUAGAAAAAAAAAAAGAGAAAAAUGCAAAAAUAGCAAAAAGUAGUACAUAACUUUUUGAAUAGUGAAAAACAUUAACUUUAAAAUACCACUAGUCUUAUAUCUUACAGAAAACUCUAAUCCGCAAAAUAUAUACCAAGAUCAAACAUUAAGAUGGUAAUAAUAUGUCAUACAUUUUAGUGCUGGAAUCGAAUGAAUGGCAAAGAGGAUCAUUUUGGUACAAGCCUAGACUAGUAAGUUGGAAAGAAAAAAUAGAGUUUUAUAUUAGAUAUGUUCUGAGCCAAGGCUCCAUAGACAUAACUAGGCAUGUUCAAUCCGGAUUUUGAUCCGGUUUUUGUUUUGGUUAUCAAAAUUAAUUACCAUAUUAUAACCAUAUCUAAUUUUGUUUGGUUUGGUUUAUAUACUAAUUCUAAACCACUUUUUUCGGUUUGGUUUAGUUUAAAUUGAUUCGGUUUUACCAGAUUGAACACAGCAUAACCAAAACUAGUCAACAAAAGGUAAGGCAAUUCACAGAUAUUCAAAGCACAUUAAAGAAUGAGACAGAAGAGACAACAAAACGAAGACUUGUGUGCAAGUCAUGUCCUGCUUUGGUAAAAGAACUGGUGGGAUCCUGUGAAUUUACUUCUUGGUUGGUCAGAAACAUAUAAAUGCAGAGCAGUAAAUAAACCAUUCAAAGUUGAAAGAGAAGGAAACUGCAACAUCCAUACGUAAAGCAAAUCCUAAAAAUUUUAAGCAGUAAAGACAAAUACAUGCAUCUGUAAUGGGAACGAUCCAAACAGUUUCACUUUCUCCAUUGAGAAGCAUCAGUUUCUUUCGAGUCCAAACGAUUAACUAAGAAACCGAAAAAGGGAGUAAAGAAAUAGAUAGAACGACGAAGUCAAUCACUCAUUCAAGCCAUGAUUUUGGCAGACCGGACAUAAAGGCUGUCAACGACCUUCUCCAUGUUUGCAAUGGUGUCAAGAGUAGCCGAGUAGAUCGCAUCCGCCUUUGGAUCUUCGAAUAUGAUGAGACACCCAGCUCCUUGAUCCAAAGUACCCGCAAAUUUCUUGUCAAGAAUCAUCUGAGACAGCUUCUUCUCCACAUGGUCAACAGGCAACCCAAUCAACUCCGCAAUGUGAGCUAUCUCAACUCGUGAGAAGGGCUCGAUCAAACGGCAGAGGUUCUGCUCCAAAAGCGUAUCAUAAAGAGAAGAGAGAUGCCUGUGGACAAUCGGGUCAUCCUCCAGCUGCGCCUUGUAGUCACGUAGCGCGUUCUCAAACAGCUUCAACGACCUCUUCGAGUGAGCAUCAGCCACCGCCUUCAUGGCAUCAAGAUCAGGGCCAACGUACUGGAGUCCCGCCUUUGAGGAGAUGAUUCCCGCAACGUCAUCAGCUUGGCUGACCAUGAUCUUGCACAACAACAUGUACUUCAAACUGAAAACAGCUCUCGAAUCUCCAAGAGCGUUGAAAGACUCAAAGGCUUCAAAGAAGUAGCUGUAUCCGGUUUUGUAAUCCUUCUCCUCAGCGUGAAGAAUCCCACUCUGCAGAUCAAUAGUACCUUGCUGCGCCGGCGGAACAUAGAUAGCGUUAGCAGCAGUCCUAGCUGCGGUGAGCGCAGCUUUCGCCUUGGGUAAGUUCCUCAACGAGAAGUGAAGUUUGCUCUCAAGCAAGUCAAUGUCAACGAGAAGAAGCUUAUCAUCCAACCUCCUAACCUCUUUCACCAGAGUACUCAGCAACGCCAAAGCCUCAACAUACUCCUUGUUCUCCAUCAAAAGAGCAGCGAGCCUCGCCUCCACACGCUGCCUGAGGAAAGUACGCUUCUCGGCGCGGGUCCACUGCACCAUCUCCUUGCAGAGAGUGAUCUGGAGAUCAGUCGUUCCGGGUAUCUUGGCCACGGCGUCGAUGAUUCCUCUGACGAUUUUGGCCGUCUUGGCCUUGGGGAUUAGGGAAAAGAAAGGUCUCAGCUUGGUCAAGAGCGUGCGGAGAUCCUCGCCUCGCUUCUCUUCGGUGAGACGGUCGCAGAGGUUAGUAAUGGCUUGCUCCUUGACACGGAGAGCCUCUGGAGAUGAAGAAGGGUCUUCCAAGACCUGGUAGAGUAUCUGGAUAGCCUCUGAGCUGUUGGCUUCUAGAGCUAGAGAGAUAGUCUCGGUGGUAGCGGGAUACGAAACCAUUG
rnacentral:lncRNA from 1 species